rnacentral:rRNA from 1 species
UAGGGAGGGGGCUAGCGUUGUUCGGAAUUACUGGGCGUAAAGCGCACGUAGGCGGCUUUUCAAGUCAGAGGUGAAAGCCCGGGGCUCAACUCCGGAAUUGCCUUUGAAUCUGGAUGGCUAGAACAAGGGAGAGGUGAGUGGAAUUCCGAGUGGAGAGGUGAAAUUCGUAGAUAUUCGGAGGAACUCCAGUGGCGAAGGCGGCUCACUGGACCGUUGUUGACGCUGAGGUGCGAAAGCGUGGGGAGCAAACAGG